rnacentral:lncRNA from 1 species
UGAAACGGAAAGAGGAGAUGGAUGAUGCGGCAAAGACGGCAGAGGGAACGUCAUAUCGUAUGAAACAUUGAGAGAAGAAGGAACGCGCAGUGGAGAGGAGAGAGAGAACACGUUGCAGAGAGAAGAGAGGAAACGAUCCGUACAAAAACGCGGAGAAGAGAAGGGCGCCAGUUUGGUUCAUAGAGAAAAAUAAUAGUUCGGUUAAAAGGUGUGGUUCGGUUCAGGGAAUCGUAAAAAACAUGGAAAGGUCAAAGUGGUGGUUCGGUUCGGAGGUGGUUUAAAAAAGAGAUAGAUGAGGGAGAGGAAAAGAGUGAUCUGGUUUAGAAAAAAAAAAGAACGGUUUAGUUCAAAUAGACAGCUCGAUUCAAAACAUG